CGGAGCGGUUCGGGUGAUCGCCGGCGCGCUCGCUUCGGCGGGCGCGCGGGAGGAAAGUCCGAGCUCCACAGGGUAGGAUGCCAGCUAACGGCUGGUGGGGGCGACCCCCAGGAAAGUGCCACAGAGAGCAGACCGCCGCGUCGUCUUCGAUACCCUCGGGGGCCACGCGGUAAGGGUGAAAGGGUGAGGUAAGAGCUCACCGGGUCGGCGGUGACGUCGGCCGCACGGCAAACCCCAUCCGGAGCAAGACCGAAUAGGGAAGCGCUCGAGGGUGACCCGCCCGAGCUUCCGGGUCGUGUCGCUGGAGGUCCGUGGCAACGCGGAUCGUAGAUGAAUGAUCACCACCCGCGAACCGGUGACGGCCGCGGGAACAGAACUCGGCUUACGAGCCCUCCGACCC
rnacentral:RNase_P_RNA from 1 species